rnacentral:rRNA from 1 species
CAAUAGCGUAUAUUAAAGUUGUUGCGGUAAAAAAGCUCGUAGUUGGAUUUCUGGUUGAAGCGACCGGUCGGGCGUUGAUUCGUCUGCACUGGAGUCGGUUUUGGCCAUCCUCUAGGAAAGUGCGUCUGGUAUUAAGUUAUCGGGCGUAUGAUCCUGGUCUUUUACUGUGAAAAAAUUAGAGUGUUUAAAGCAGGCCUUCGCCUUGAAUACAUUAGCAUGGAAUAAUAAGAUAGGACUUUGGUCUAUUUUGUUGGUUUGCAGACCGAAGUAAUGAUUAAUAGGGAUAGUUGGGGGUAUUUAUAUUCCGAUGUCAGAGGUGAAAUUCUUAGAUUUUCGGAAGAUAAACUUAUGCGAAAGCAUUUACCAAGGAUGUUUUCAUUAA